UUAAGCGACUAAGCGUACACGGUGGAUGCCCUGGCAGUCAGAGGCGAUGAAGGACGUGCUAAUCUGCGAUAAGCGUCGGUGAGGUGAUAUGAACCGUUAUAACCGGCGAUUUCCGAAUGGGGAAACCCAGUGUGUUUCGACACACUAUCAUUAACUGAAUCCAUAGGUUAAUGAGGCGAACCGGGGGAACUGAAACAUCUAAGUACCCCGAGGAAAAGAAAUCAACCGAGAUUCCCACAGUAGCGGCGAGCGAACGGGGAGGAGCCCAGAGCCUGAAUCAGUGUGUGUGUUAGUGGAAGCGUCUGGAAAGGCGUGCGAUACAGGGUGACAGCCCCGUACACAAAAAUGCACAUAUUGUGAGCUCGAUGAGUAGGGCGGGACACGUGGUAUCCUGUCUGAAUAUGGGGGGACCAUCCUCCAAGGCUAAAUACUCCUGACUGACCGAUAGUGAACCAGUACCGUGAGGGAAAGGCGAAAAGAACCCCGGCGAGGGGAGUGAAAAAGAACCUGAAACCGUGUACGUACAAGCAGUGGGAGCCUCUUAAUGGGGUGACUGCGUACCUUUUGUAUAAUGGGUCAGCGACUUAUAUUCUGUAGCAAGGUUAACCGAAUAGGGGAGCCGAAGGGAAACCGAGUCUUAACUGGGCGUUAAGUUGCAGGGUAUAGACCCGAAACCCGGUGAUCUAGCCAUGGGCAGGUUGAAGGUUGGGUAACACUAACUGGAGGACCGAACCGACUAAUGUUGAAAAAUUAGCGGAUGACUUGUGGCUGGGGGUGAAAGGCCAAUCAAACCGGGAGAUAGCUGGUUCUCCCCGAAAGCUAUUUAGGUAGCGCCUCGUGAAUUCAUCUCCGGGGGUAGAGCACUGUUUCGGCAAGGGGGUCAUCCCGACUUACCAACCCGAUGCAAACUGCGAAUACCGGAGAAUGUUAUCACGGGAGACACACGGCGGGUGCUAACGUCCGUCGUGAAGAGGGAAACAACCCAGACCGCCAGCUAAGGUCCCAAAGUCAUGGUUAAGUGGGAAACGAUGUGGGAAGGCCCAGACAGCCAGGAUGUUGGCUUAGAAGCAGCCAUCAUUUAAAGAAAGCGUAAUAGCUCACUGGUCGAGUCGGCCUGCGCGGAAGAUGUAACGGGGCUAAACCAUGCACCGAAGCUGCGGCAGCGACACUAUGUGUUGUUGGGUAGGGGAGCGUUCUGUAAGCCUGUGAAGGUGGCCUGUGAGGGUUGCUGGAGGUAUCAGAAGUGCGAAUGCUGACAUAAGUAACGAUAAAGCGGGUGAAAAGCCCGCUCGCCGGAAGACCAAGGGUUCCUGUCCAACGUUAAUCGGGGCAGGGUGAGUCGACCCCUAAGGCGAGGCCGAAAGGCGUAGUCGAUGGGAAACAGGUUAAUAUUCCUGUACUUGGUGUUACUGCGAAGGGGGGACGGAGAAGGCUAUGUUGGCCGGGCGACGGUUGUCCCGGUUUAAGCGUGUAGGCUGGUUUUCCAGGCAAAUCCGGAAAACCAAGGCUGAGGCGUGAUGACGAGGCACUACGGUGCUGAAGCGACAAAUGCCCUGCUUCCAGGAAAAGCCUCUAAGCAUCAGGUAACAUCAAAUCGUACCCCAAACCGACACAGGUGGUCAGGUAGAGAAUACCAAGGCGCUUGAGAGAACUCGGGUGAAGGAACUAGGCAAAAUGGUGCCGUAACUUCGGGAGAAGGCACGCUGAUAUGUAGGUGAAGCGACUUGCUCGUGGAGCUGAAAUCAGUCGAAGAUACCAGCUGGCUGCAACUGUUUAUUAAAAACACAGCACUGUGCAAACACGAAAGUGGACGUAUACGGUGUGACGCCUGCCCGGUGCCGGAAGGUUAAUUGAUGGGGUUAGCGGCAACGCGAAGCUCUUGAUCGAAGCCCCGGUAAACGGCGGCCGUAACUAUAACGGUCCUAAGGUAGCGAAAUUCCUUGUCGGGUAAGUUCCGACCUGCACGAAUGGCGUAAUGAUGGCCAGGCUGUCUCCACCCGAGACUCAGUGAAAUUGAACUCGCUGUGAAGAUGCAGUGUACCCGCGGCAAGACGGAAAGACCCCGUGAACCUUUACUAUAGCUUGACACUGAACAUUGAGCCUUGAUGUGUAGGAUAGGUGGGAGGCUUUGAAGUGUGGACGCCAGUCUGCAUGGAGCCGACCUUGAAAUACCACCCUUUAAUGUUUGAUGUUCUAACGUUGGCCCGUAAUCCGGGUUGCGGACAGUGUCUGGUGGGUAGUUUGACUGGGGCGGUCUCCUCCUAAAGAGUAACGGAGGAGCACGAAGGUUGGCUAAUCCUGGUCGGACAUCAGGAGGUUAGUGCAAUGGCAUAAGCCAGCUUGACUGCGAGCGUGACGGCGCGAGCAGGUGCGAAAGCAGGUCAUAGUGAUCCGGUGGUUCUGAAUGGAAGGGCCAUCGCUCAACGGAUAAAAGGUACUCCGGGGAUAACAGGCUGAUACCGCCCAAGAGUUCAUAUCGACGGCGGUGUUUGGCACCUCGAUGUCGGCUCAUCACAUCCUGGGGCUGAAGUAGGUCCCAAGGGUAUGGCUGUUCGCCAUUUAAAGUGGUACGCGAGCUGGGUUUAGAACGUCGUGAGACAGUUCGGUCCCUAUCUGCCGUGGGCGCUGGAGAACUGAGGGGGGCUGCUCCUAGUACGAGAGGACCGGAGUGGACGCAUCACUGGUGUUCGGGUUGUCAUGCCAAUGGCACUGCCCGGUAGCUAAAUGCGGAAGAGAUAAGUGCUGAAAGCAUCUAAGCACGAAACUUGCCCCGAGAUGAGUUCUCCCUGACUCCUUGAGAGUCCUGAAGGAACGUUGAAGACGACGACGUUGAUAGGCCGGGUGUGUAAGCGCAGCGAUGCGUUGAGCUAACCGGUACUAAUGAACCGUGAGGCUUAACCUU
rnacentral:rRNA from 1 species